rnacentral:rRNA from 1 species
UGUUUGGGAAUGCAGCUCUAAGUGGGUGGUAAAUUCCAUCUAAAGCUAAAUAUUAGUAGGAGACCGAUAGCGAACAAGUACUGUGAAGGAAAGAUGAAAAGGGCUUUGAAAAGAGUUGUGAAAAGUACCUGAAACCGCUAAAAGGGAAGCGAUUGCUGCCAGUGGGCGCGGACCAGAUCGACAGCCCUCCGGGGUGGCUUUUCUGUACGCGCAGUCAGCAUGGGUUAGGGACGCGGCAAACGCGGCGGUGGCUGUCAGCCCCGCUUGCUGCCGUGUGCCUGACCGAGGAACACUGUUUGCCAGAUGCUGACGAAAUGGCAACAAUCACCCCGUCUUGAAACACGGACC